rnacentral:lncRNA from 1 species
GCUAGAUGUUUAAUUAAAAAAUAUUACAAAUGCGCGCAACUUGCUAGACAUUUGAAACGACGUUCUCUGCUUCAGCCUUCUCGUUUGUAGUAGUCCUCAUAGCUCAUCGACUCCCAUCUACUUGAUCCGCCAAGAUGAUAAACUCAAUCACAAUAAUGAACUGGAGAAUUAAAAAAAUACCGACAACAUGUGAGUUACAUAAGUAAUAUUCAAGAUCUCAAUGUUCUAUCUAUAUUGUUAAAAUGAGAAGAAGAUUACCCUGCACCAACACGAGCGAGUUCACCAGCAAAACAUAGCCAACCCGAGCUUCUUAAAUAAAAGAAAUAUGAAAGAGAUAUUUCAACUCUGCUCUCUCUCACAACGUUACAUAUAUACCGUAUAGUUGAAUAUAGUCCGAGGGAAUGAAGAAGGGAAUAACUGUAACAUCAAUUACUUAGCUAUAAUUCUAUUCAUAACUUUCUCAAGUAAGAAACAUGAAUCUCAACUUUGAAAAAUCAUUAUCUCAACUUUGAAAAAUCAUAUAAAAUCAACCUCUUCAAAGAAAAAUGCAAGCUUUACCUUUUAAGAAAGCUAUUAAAGUCUAUCUUUAUUAGUAAAGUUACAAAAUACAAUAUCUUCUCAAGUGUAUAAGAAAUUAUCUCACAAAAUGCAGAAUCUGCCACAGAACCUUACUGCUUCGCGCAGUACUUUUUAAGAAAAUAGUUUGACAUAUCUAAUGGUGUCCAAUUUAGCUGAAAUUUUUCAGAAACCUCCUACUCAUGCUGAAGUUAUUACAGUAAAUUUUCAAGUUAUUUGGACAAUAGGAACACUCUCGAAAAUCCCUCACAAGACAUUGGUUCGUCCAGCCAAACUUGACAGCAAUACAGUUUCUGUUGAAACUCAACAUAUAACUCAUAUUUUGGCCAAAUAAAAGCUAUAAGAUCUCAAAUACAUCAUCUUACUACACAUUAGCAUGCUUUAGCUUGAAAUUUAAAUCAUAUUUAACUCAUCAACACCAAGAAAGCAAGUUAUAACACAACCAAUCACCACAAGUUCUCCACUCAAUACUAAAAGUCGUUCUUCCCUUAUUCAUAAAUCAAAAUUGGCUCAACACAUAGUAACAUGCUCAAUAUCCCCCAAUUUCUAUCAUAUAAUCACAUUCCACGCUCCCAAGAGUUCAAUUACAUAAGCAUCAAACAUUUAGCUAUCUUACCUCAAGAAUGCCCAAAUUCACUUAUUCAAAACUAUUAGGAAAUCAUGAUUUCCUGUCCAGUCCAGCAAUCCGGUUUAGCACCUAUACCAUCCAGUGAAAUGAAAUUAGACCCCAAGAAAACAAAAUACAAAAGUGUGGCUUUCCACAUAGACGAAGCAAGCAGUUGGACUUUAAACAUAUUGAGUAGCAAGUAACAGGCACAGCUCCACUUAGUAUAAACCUCAAUUGUAAACAUAUUGAGUAGCAAGUAACAGGCUGUCAGAUAACAACUUGAGAAAUUCAGAAUUCGAAACCAUAUGCAGCGAAAUCCUUGCCACUCAAUCAAACAUACAUCCACAAACAGUACAGAUACAUUUGUCCUUAUGUAGCAGAUUCUAAUAACAAAAAUAAAAAUGAAGGAAAAGGAAAUUAGAGCAUACUUCAUCUUCAUGUCCUUGACGCCUGCGCUUCUUUGCUUGUGCAGCUGUCUUGAUCGUUCUGCUUCUCCAAGCAANUGAGGAUUUUUCCGUUAUGUUGUAUUUUUUGUUUUUUUCCUAUCAUAGUUAACAGUUUUUUUCUAUACAUAACGGUAUGAAACCGUUAUCUAUAAUGAUUAUACAUAACGGUUUAUACCGUUAUGUAUGAGGUAUUUUUCCGUUAUUGUUUUGUUAUUUUUUUGUUUUUUUCUAUCAUAGUUAACUAGUUUUUUUCUAUACAUAACGGUUUGAAACCGUUAUCUAUAAUGACUAUACACAACGGUUUUUUUGCACUUUUUAUAACGGUUUUUUGCACUUUUUAUAACGAUUUUUUGCACUUUUUAUAACGAUUUUUGCAGUUUUUAUAACGAUUUUAACCGUUAUCUUUGAUUAGAAUACAUAACGAUUUUUUUGCACCUUUUAUAACAGUUUUUUUGCACUUUUUAUAAUUGUAGUAUAUUUUUUAAAUUUUGCAAUUUUUUAUAAAACGACAAAAUGAUAAAAUCAACAAUAACAAUAUUAUAUAUCAUCCAAAAUAUUCAUACAUUAUUAUCCAAAUAUAAUGAAAACUUACACAUAUAUUCUAUUUAGCUAGAUGUUUAAUUUAAAAAAUAAUUACAAAUGCGCGCAACUUGCUAAACAUUUGAAACGACGUUCUCUGCUUCAGCCUUCUCGUUUGUAGUAGUCCUCAUAGCUCAUCGAUCCCAUCUACUUAAUCCGCCAAGAUGAUAAACUCAAUCACAAUAAUGAACUGGAGAUUAAAAAAAUACCGACAACAUGUGAGUUACAUAGUAAUCUUCUAAGAUCUCAAUGUUCUAUCUAUAUUGUUAAAAUAGAGAAGAAGAUUACCAUGCACCAACACGAUCGAGUUACACCUGCAAAACAUAGCCAACCUGAGCUUCUUAAAUAAAAGAAAUAUGAAAGAGAUAUUUCAACUCUGCUCUCUCUCACAACGUUACAUAUAUACCGUAUAGUUGAAUAUAGUCCGAGGGAAUGAAGAAGGGAAUAGCUGAAACAUCAAUUACUUAGCAUAAUUCUAUUCAUAAACUUUCUCAAGUAAGAAACAUGAAUCUCAACUUUGAAAAAUCAUUAUCUCAACUUUGAAAAAAUCAUAUAAAAUCAACCUCUUCAAAGAAAAAUGCAAGCUUACCUUUUUAAGAAAGCUAUUAAAAGUCUAUCUUUAUUAGAAAGUUACAAAAAUACAAAUAUCUUCUCAAGUGUAUAAGAAAUUAUCUCACAAAAAUGCAGAAUCUGCCACAGAACCUUACUGCUUCGCGCAGUACUUUUAAGAAAAUAGUUUGACAUAUCUAAUGGUGUCCAAUUUAGCUGAAAUUUUUCAGAAACCUCCUACUCAUGCUGAAGUUAUUACAGUAAAAUUUUCAAGUUAUUUGGACAAUAGGAACACUCUCGAAAAUCCCUCACAAGACAUGUUGUCCAGCCAAACUGACAGCAUACAGUUUCUGUUGAAACUCAACAUAUAACUCAUAUUUUGGCCAAAUAAAAGCUAUAAGAUCUCAAAUACAUCAUCUUACUACACAUUAGCAUGCUUUAGCUUGAAAUUUAAAUCAUAUUUAACUCAUCAACACCAAGAAAGCAAGUUAUAACACAACCAAUCACCACAAGUUCUCCACUCAAUACUAAAAGUCGUUCUUCCCUUAUUCAUAAAUCAAAAUUGGCUCAACACAUAGUAACAUGCUCAAUAUCCCCCAAUUUCUAUCAUAUAAUCACAUUCCACGCUCCCAAGAGUUCAAUUACAUAAGCAUCAAACAUUUAGGUAUCUUACCUCAAGAAUGCCCAAAUUCACUUAUUCAAAACUAUUAGGAAAUCAUGAUUUCCUGUCCAGUCCAGCAAUCCGGUUUAGCACCUAUACCAUCCAGUGAAAUGAAAAUUACACCCCAAGAAAACAAAAUACAAAAAACAGAAAAAUGCAGUUCUAAUUCAGAGAUGCCCAUAAGAGAUUAUGAUAAUAUGAGAUCAUUUUCUACAUAUGACUCUAAAGUUGUAACUUAGCAGAUUUGAUUACACUAAGAUGUCUUUCACCAUAAAAAACAAAAUUUUCUUCGAUCAUUGAGUAGAAAUGUUGCAGUCCUAAAAUGAUCAACUAUAGAGAAU